CUCAGAGAGCAGAAUGGGACUGAAGCCAUUGUCAUCAGUAUCCAGCGAACUUGAGAGUAAAGGCCACUAUUGCUGGAAAGCUCUUCUCCUCUUCUGCUGUAUUUCCUCCUUAAUAUUCAUACCAGAAGCUGGUGGCUCCAGCCAGAACAAUAGAAGCAGCAGCCAUGGAAUGAUUCUUUGGAGAAUUGUCAAAAAUGAGGGAAGAUGUUCAAGGCGACACUUGUCUGCUUCCCAUCUGUGUGGGCAUCAGUCUAUAAGAUUCCAAGGCCUUCCUGACCGUCACUGCUCAGUGGUCCAGUCUGCCAGAAGACUGGCACUUAGUGUCGGGGGAAGGAACACUGGACUUGGAGUCAGAAGACAAGCCUUUAAAUCUUGGCUCAGUUCUUCAGAAGUUGCGUGUCCUUGGGUAAAUUACUUCACCUCUCUGGGCCUAAGCUGGGAUGUCAUGAUUAAAGGACAUUUUUAG
rnacentral:lncRNA from 1 species